GAGGGAAAGGUGAAAAGAACCCCGGGAGGGGAGUGAAAUAGAACCUGAAACCGUGUGCCUACAACCGGUCAAAGCCCCAUAUGAGGGUGAUGACGUGCUUUUUGUAGAACGAGCCAACGAGUUACGGUAUGUAGCAAGGUUAAGUACUUAAGGUACGGAGCCGAAGGGAAACCGAGUCUUAAUAGGGCGACUAGUUGCAUGCCGUAGACCCGAAACCGGGUGACCUAUCCAUGGCCAGGUUGAAGCGAGGGUAAAACCUCGUGGAGGACCGAACCACGUUGCUGUUGAAAAAGCAUGGGAUGAGCUGUGGAUAGCGGAGAAAUUCCAAUCGAACUCGGAGAUAGCUGGUUCUCCCCGAAAUAGCUUUAGGGCUAGCGUCGGAUAUGUGUAGUGGAGGUAGAGCACUGAAUGGGCUAGGGGGCAUAUCGCUUACCGAACCUUAUCAAACUCCGAAUGCCAUAUACAUUUAGUCCGGCAGUCAGACUACGAAUGAUAAGAUCCGUGGUCAAAAGGGAAACAGCCCAGAUCGUCAGCUAAGGUCCCAAAGUGUAAGUUAAGUGGAAAAGGAUGUGGGAUUUCUAAGACAACUAGGAUGUUGGCUUAGAAGCAGCCACUCAUUUAAAGAGUGCGUAAUAGCUCACUAGUCGAGAGAUCCUGCGCCGAAAAUGUCCGGGGCUAAAACUUACCACCGAAGCUACGGGCUUGCGUAAGCAAGCGGUAGGGGAGCGUCGUAAUCGGGCUGAAGUCGUACCGUAAGGAGCGGUGGACUGAUUACGAGUGAGAAUGUUGGCAUUAGUAGCGAGAUGUAGGUGAGAAUCCUACAGGCCGAAUAUCUAAGGUUUCCUCAGGAAGGCUCGUCCGCUGAGGGUUAGUCGGGACCUAAGCCGAGGCCGAAAGGCGUAGGCGAUGGACAACAGGUUGAUAUUCCUGUACCACUACCAUCGUUAUUAUCGAGGGUGUGACGGAGAAGGAUAGUGUGUGCUAGCGAUUGGAAAUGCUAGUCUAAGCGUUUAGGCAGUUACGGUAGGCAAAUCCGCUGUAAUGUUAAUGCUGAGGCGUGAUGGGGAAGGCCCUUGAGGCUGAAGUACAUGAUUCCAUGCUUCCAAGAAAAGCAUCUAGAGAGAGAAGUAGUGCCCGUACCGCAAACCGACACAGGUAGAUGAGGAGAGAAUCCUAAGGCCGGCGGAAGAAUUGCAGUUAAGGAACUAGGCAAAUUGACCCCGUAAGUUAGCGAGAAGGGGUGCCUACGAGAGUAGGCCGCAGAGAAUAGGCCCAAGCAACUGUUUAGCAAAAACACAGGUCUCUGCUAAAGCGCAAGCUGAUGUAUAGGGGCUGACGCCUGCCCGGUGCUGGAAGGUUAAGGGGAACACUUAGCGCAAGCGAAGGUGUGAACUUAAGCCCCAGUAAACGGCGGCCGUAACUAUAACGGUCCUAAGGUAGCGAAAUUCCUUGUCAGGUAAGUUCUGACCCGCACGAAUGGCGUAACGAUUUGGGCACUGUCUCAACAGCCCGCCCGGCGAAAUUGUAGUACCGGUGAAGAUGCCGGUUACCCGCGACAAGACGGAAAGACCCCAUGGAGCUUUACUGUAGCCUAAUAUUGGGUUUCGAUGUUGCAUGCACAGGAUAGAUGGGACACAGGGAAACAAGUGCUUUGGCAUUUGUGGAGUGGCCGUUGGGAUACCAUCCUUGCGAUAUUGGAAUUCUAACCUGCGCCUUUGAAUCAAGGCGGGGGACAUUGUUAGGUGGGCAGUUUGACUGGGGCGGUCGCCUCCUAAAGAGUAACGGAGGCGUUCAAAGGUUCGCUCAGCUUGAACGGAAAUCAAGCAAAAGAGUGCAAACGCAGAAGCGAGCCUAACUGCGAGACUGACGGGUCGAGCAGUAACGAAAGUUGGAGUUAGUGAUCCGGUGGUAUGUGAGUGGAAAUGCCAUCGCUCAACGGAUAAAAGUUACCCUGGGGAUAACAGGCUGAUCUCCCCCAAGAGUCCACAUCGACGGGGAGGUUUGGCACCUCGAUGUCGGCUCGUCGCAUCCUGGGGCUGUAGUAGGUCCCAAGGGUUGGGCUGUUCGCCCAUUAAAGCGGUACGCGAGCUGGGUUCAGAACGUCGUGAGACAGUUCGGUCCCUAUCCGGCGUGGGCGUAGGAUAUUUGAGAGGAGCUGUCCUUAGUACGAGAGGACCGGGAUGGACUGACCUCUGGUGCACCAGUUGUUCUGCCAAGAGCAUGGCUGGGUAGCUAAGUCGGGAAGGGAUAAACGCUGAAAGCAUCUAAGCGUGAAGCCUCCCUCAAGAUGAGAUUUCCCAUAGUCGAAAGACUAGUAAGACCCCUUGAAGAACACGAGGUUGAUAGGUCAGAGGUGUAAGUGUGGUAACAUAUUUAGCUGACUGAUACUAAUAGGUCGAGGGCUUGACCAA
rnacentral:rRNA from 1 species